GACGAACGCUGGCGGCGUGCUUAACACAUGCAAGUCGAACGGAAAGGCCCUGCUUUUGUGGGGUGCUCGAGUGGCGAACGGGUGAGUAACACGUGAGUAACCUGCCCUUGACUUUGGGAUAACUUCAGGAAACUGGGGCUAAUACCGGAUAGGAGCUCCUGCUGCAUGGUGGGGGUUGGAAAGUUUCGGCGGUUGGGGAUGGACUCGCGGCUUAUCAGCUUGUUGGUGGGGUAGUGGCUUACCAAGGCUUUGACGGGUAGCCGGCCUGAGAGGGUGACCGGCCACAUUGGGACUGAGAUACGGCCCAGACUCCUACGGGAGGCAGCAGUGGGGAAUAUUGCAAAAUGGGCGGAAGCCUUAUGCAGCAACGCCGCGUGCGGGAUGACGGCCUUCGGGUUGUAAACCGCUUUCGCCUGUGACGAAGCGUGAGUGACGGUAAUGGGUAAAGAAGCACCGGCUAACUACGUG
rnacentral:rRNA from 1 species